UCUCAUCAUCUGUGUCACCAUGAUGUGGUAAGUUAAUAUCAAUACCAAUAGCAGUGUAUGGAACCUUUUCAGAGGCAUUUUCUUGCUUAGCUGUCCCUAAACCAUAAUUAUCAUCGUCAUCAUUCACUAUAUCCACCUGUUCUUCUGAUUCAUAAUUUUUGGGGUCAGGUGAUGCAGUUGGUUGAUUAGGAAGUGAAGAUGGGUACUGCACAUUGUUCUCCUUUCUAGAUUCUGCAAUAGGGAAAGAAUGAGUUUUCCAUAGUACCCAAAUUGACUCAAAACAACAUCUCAUAAGACAAAGUGGUUAAAGUAUCAACAACAGCUUAGCCACCUGGAUUCUGACUAAUGAAGCAAAGAUAUUGUCUUUAAUUUCGAGUUCAAAGUCAAAUUCAAAUAAACCAGUAAAAUCAUGAUGAUAAAGCCCUAACUUAACUAUAUUAGCAUAGAGUAAACAAAGUUAAUCUUACCUC
rnacentral:lncRNA from 1 species